CCUCUUAUCACUAUUUUUUACCCAUUCACCUUCACGUGUCUGUACCAGAUCCCUCGACGCGCGGGCGGCACGCACUCUACAAGUUGUGCUCUCCAAAUGUGUGCUCUUUUCCUCUUUCAUUCUGCUGCUGCUUCCAACCAAAAAGAAUUCUCUGUUUGUCCUGACUCCCGUGUCAGGGAGGUUAGACGCAAUGAAAUAGUGUUAGGAUCAGAGAGAAUUAGAGAAAGAAAGAAUGAGAGACGUCACUGUGAUUGGGAUUGGAUUGAUGGUAGAGUCGCAGCGCUACCA
ensembl:ncRNA ZK622.9 ncRNA